AAUAUUGCACAAUGGGGGAAACCCUGAUGCAGCGACGCCGCGUGAGUGAAGAAGUAUUUCGGUAUGUAAAGCUCUAUCAGCAGGGAAGAAAAUGACGGUACCUGACUAAGAAGCCCCGGCUAACUACGUGCCAGCAGCCGCGGUAAUACGUAGGGGGCAAGCGUUAUCCGGAUUUACUGGGUGUAAAGGGAGCGUAGACGGCAUGGCAAGUCUGGAGUGAAAACCCAGGGCUCAACCUUGGGAUUGCUUUGGAAACUGUCAAGCUGGAGUGCCGGAGAGGUAAGCGGAAUUCCUAGUGUAGCGGUGAAAUGCGUAGAUAUUAGGAGGAACACCAGUGGCGAAGGCGGCUUACUGGACGGUAACUGACGUUGAGGCUCGAAAGCGUGGGGAGCAAACAG
rnacentral:rRNA from 1 species